GGAUCAAUUUACUGGUCGUGCCUAUGGUACGUACUGGUAUUGUUGGUUCCUCCUUUCUGAGGAGCCGCGAUGUCAUUAACUUGGUGUCGCGGGGAAUCAGGACUGUUACUUUGAAAAAAUUAGAGUGUUUAAAGCAGGCUAACGCCUGAAUACAUUAGCAUGGAAUAAUGAAAUAGGACG
rnacentral:rRNA from 1 species